UAGGGAGAACUGGCAUUUUUGCUAUAUGCCGGAAUGUCGCGAAAUGCCCAUUUUUCUAAUUUGGGAGCAGAGGGUCGCAGGUUCAAAUCCUGUCUCCCCGACCA
rnacentral:tRNA from 1 species